UGGGGAAUUUUGUGCAAUGGGCGAAAGCCUGACACAGCGACGCCGCGUGGGGGAUGAAGGCCUUCGGGUCGUAAACCCCUUUUCUCAGGGAGGAAUAAUGACAGUACCUGAGGAAUAAGCCAUGGCUAACUUCGUGCCAGCAGCCGCGGUAAUACGGAGGUGGCGAGCGUUAUCCGGAUUUACUGGGCGUAAAGAGGGCGCAGACGGCUUUCCAAGUCGGAUGUAAAAUCUCCCAGCUUAACUGGGAGCGAUCACUCGAUACUGUUAAGCUAGAGUACAACAGGGGGAGGUAGAAUUCCCGGUGUAGUGGUGAAAUGCGUAGAUAUCGGGAGGAAUACCAGUGGCGAAGGCGGCCUCCUGGGUUGUUACUGACGUUCAGGCCCGAAAGCGUGGGGAGCAAACAGG
rnacentral:rRNA from 1 species